rnacentral:rRNA from 1 species
CAGCCGCCGCGGUAAUACGUAGGGGGCGAGCGUUACCCGGAUUCACUGGGCGUAAAGCGGGUGUAGGCGGCUCGGUAAGCCGGGUGUGAAAUCCCACAGCUCAACUGUGGAAUUGCGCCCGAAACUGCUGAGCUUGGGGCCGGUAGAGGGAGACGGAACUGCCGGUGUAGGGGUGAAAUCCGUAGAUAUCGGCAGGAACGCCGGUGGGGAAGCCGGUCUCCUGGGCCGCGCCCGACGCUGAGACCCGAAAGCUAGGGGAGCAAACCGGAUUAGAUACCCGGGUAGUCCUAGCCGUAAACGAUGCCCACUAGGUGUGGGGGAUUAAUUCCUCCGUGCUGUAGCUAACGCGUUAAGUGGGCCGCCUGGGGAGUACGCCCGCAAGGGUGAAACUUAAAGGAAUUGGCGGG